GGCCUUGUAGUUCAGUGGUGAGAGCACUGGUCUUGUAAACCACGAGUCGUGAGUUCAAUUCCCACCUGGGCCU